UACAGAGGUCUCAAGCGUUUGUUCGGAUUCAUUGGGCGUAAAGGGUGCGUAGGUGGUGAGGUAAGUCGGAUGUGAAAGCUCGGAGCUCAACUCCGAAAUGGCAUUGGAAACUACCUUGCUCGAGGGUUGGAGGGGGGACUGGAAUGCUUGGUGUAGCAGUGAAAUGCGUAGAUAUCAAGCGGAACACCAGUGGCGAAGGCGAGUCCCUGGACAACUCCUGACACUGAGGCACGAAAGCGUGGGGAGCAAACAGG
rnacentral:rRNA from 1 species